AACUGGUCCCUGGAGAAAGAUGCUCUCCUCUAAGGACAUUAAUUUUGUGGGCUACACAUAUAAAAACUUCGAAAUCGUUAACGAUUAUCAAGUGCCUGGGAUGGCCUCGUUGAAGAAGAAAAGCACCAAACCAAAGAGACCGUCCGUAAAAACACUAUUUGGUAAA